CCAAUUUUUUGCCCCAAAUCUUCGCACAAUUCUUUCUCCCCCUUCUCUCUCUUAAAACACACGCUCAUUCUCUGCCCUCCUCGCUUUCUACCCUAGCUCCUCUCUCUUCAGCGUUGCCGCCGAUGUCACAUAUUCUUCUCCUUCAGUGCUACCACCGACGUCGUAUCUUCGAGCAAGCGUUAGCGCCGCCGUCGUCACUUCGAGUAUUCAAGAAUUGGAGACAGAUAUUGAGAAAUAUCAUGAGGAGUGAAGCUUUCUUCACAUAUCCAAGGUCUUAUGACUUAAUUCAUUCCAAUGGGGUUUUCAGUUUGUACAAGGACAAGUUAGCUUUAUCACUUGAUGGAGAUGCAUCUAAGUCAUCAUAGUCAGGAUCUUAGUCAUCGACUGUUGCUGAGAUCACCAAGUAGGUUUGUAUAGAGUUAAGACAAGAGCUGAAGGAUGAGAUUAGAGAAGAAUUGAGGGAGGAGAUGAGAGCAGAGCUUUCAACACAGAUACGACAAGUGAAAGCUGAAAUGUUGGCUAUUGUGUCCCAAGAAGAGGAGUAUAAAUCACAACAAACAUAUUUGGUAUAAAUUAUGUUUUAUAAAUAUCUAAUUUCAGCACAAUUCUAUCAUUGAAUAUAAAUACGAUUAAGAAAAAGAAUACCAUGAAUAUCAUAUGUACCGGAUGCAUUAAGUGGCCACAGUGAACCUAUGGAUUAUGAGGCCGAUGAGAACCCACAUACACCACCACCAGAUGAUGCAGUAAAACUUUCAAACACUUUGAAAACUUGUCGUUUGUGAAAACUUGUUGUUUAGAAACUUUUUCUCCAAACUGGUUGACUCACUAAAAAUGAUCAAACGACAUCGGAUAUCAACGAAACUUGACACACACGACGAACUAAGCACAAAUGAUUUGUACAAGAAGACGGAACUUGAAACUGAUUCUCGGUUUUGAAUCUAGAGCCUAAUUUUCGUUUAUGAAAAUUGUUCUUUAGAAACUUUUUUUCCAAGCUGGUUGACUCACUAAAAUGGUCAAACGGCGUUGGAUGUCAACGAAACUUGACAUACACGACGAACUAGGCACAAAUGACUUGUAGGAGAAGUCGGGACUCGAAACCAAUUCUUGGUUUUGAAUCUCGAGCUUAAUUUCUGUUUAUGAAAACUUGUUCUUUAGAAACUCUUUUUUCGAUCCGGUUGACUCACUAAAAUUGUCAAAUGACGUCGGAUGUCAACGAAACUUGACACACACGAUGUACUAGGCACAAAUGACUUGUAGGAGAAGACGGGACUCGAAACCGAUUCCUAGCUUUAAAUCUAGAGCUUAAUUUCCGUUUAUGAAAACUUAUUCUUUACAAACUCUUUUUCCAAACCGGUUGACUCACAAAAAUGCUCGAAUGGUGUCGGAUGUCAAUGAAACUUGACACACUUGACUAACAAGGCACAAAUGACUUGUAGGAGAAAACGAGACUUGAAACUGAUUCUCGACUUUGAAUCUAGAGCCUAUUUUCCGUUAAUGAAAACCUAUUCUUUACAAACUCUUUGUCCGAACCGGUUGACUUACUAAAAUAUUUAAACGGUGUCGGAUGUCAAUGAAACUUGACAUACUUGACUAACUACGCACAAGUGACUUGUAGGAGAAGGCAGAACUUAAAACCGAUUCCUGAUUUUAAAUCUAGAGCCUAAUUUCCGUUUAUGAAAAACUUGUUCUUUAGAAACUUUUUUUUCAAACCGACUGACUCACUAAAAUGCUCAAACAGCGUCGGAUGUCAACGAAACUUUACACACACGACGAACUAGGCACAAAUGACUUGUAAGAGAAGACGAAACUCAAAACUGAUUCCCGGUUUUAAAUCUAGAGCCUAAUUUCCGUUUAUGAAAACUUGUUCUUUAGAAACUCUUUUUUCGAACCGGUUGACUCACUAAAAUGGUCAAACGGCGUUGGAUGUCAAUGAAACUUGACACACUUGACUAAUUAGGCACAAAUGACUUGUAUCAGAAAACAAGACUUAUGAAAUUAAGUUUAGAGCCAAACUGAGUUUGUUGAAAACUCACUUUCACUUUUCUGACUGUCACUCCCUCAGGUUCUUCCAGAAACUGUAGCUACUUGAACAAAGAAAAAAACUUUAGUUUAAAUAAGUUUGCAAAGACAGACAUAUUUAGUUAUGUCCCAUUGGCAAGGUUUUUGGAGAUCCUGUCUCUGAUUCUUUAUGUACAUCUCCACAGAUUUUCAAAAACAACAUGAUAUAGUCAAUCUAUUACAAUGUGAUGGUAACAUGCUGAACAUUAAGGCUUGGACAAUGCUUAAAGUUAUUGUAUUCAAUUGCAUUAUUUGGGUUUGACAUGAUUUUGUGCAUUCCUUCCUAAGAUUAAAUCCCUAGCCAAGAAAGUCUGCAUAGAUUUCUGAUUUUUUAGCAAUAUUUUCCAUAUAGAGGAAAAUAUGCAUGGAAUGCUAUAAAAAAAUUUAAAAUAAUUCUUGAAUAUCGAACAGAGGAAAAUGUAUCUAAUCUAUAUGAAGAGAACUAUUUAUAUUUAACCUUUCAUACAGGGAAAACCUGAAUGAAUGUCCUGGAAAAGUAAGGUUUAAGCAAUUGUGUAUCACGUGAAUUGAUUUGUGUAUGCCAUUGUCUGUGGCCUUCUCUGAGCCAGGUGAGGAUGUUGAGAUGAUUCUAUAAUUGUUUAGUGUUGAUAUACUUACCGUUCUUAGAGCAUUUUCCAUGUGGUCAUGCAGCUAGGGGAGAAGUUUUCUCAACCAGCAGUUGAAGAUGUGCUCUAUGUGAAAACGCGAAGCAUGUUAAUCAACGUUGGCCUCCAGAAUUAUGAGAAGAAUUUCAAGAAAGGCUUGUUAACCGACACCAUUUUGCCUUUGCUCACCGAUAGGCAAGUAGUUAAGAUUCACCCAUCCCUUACACUUUCAUUUUAACUGUAUUUAUAUUUUGAUGGUAUUUUCCACAGUGAUAUGUUUCAGUGCUCUUAGAGAUGUCCAAAUCCCUCUUGGACCAAGGCUUCUCAUUCUCGAUCACAUCCAAAGAUACAACCCUUUUGAGUACGUGAUGAUAUCUUCGCAUAUUGAUAUUGGAGUUUAUAAUCUUAUUUAUGUAUUUAUUUAUUCAUUGAAAUAAAUAUCAAAUAUUUUACAUUUUCUGUAAGGUUGUGAUUUCAUUCAAUACUUGUGAUACGAACACACACAUUGACAAGGCGAAGCUCACAGCCUUCUUUUUAUCUAUUCAUCUCUCACUCUCUUUACUUUGGUCAUGAAGCCCUAUUGAUAGGGGGAGUUCUUGAUUUAUUUCAACACUUGCUUUUUGAAACAUAUAGUUUGAAAACUUUAAUUAUUUGUCAUUAUCAAAAAAUGGGAGAUUGUUAGCCCCAAGGUUACUCAAACUUGAAUUUCGAUUUGAUUUUGAUUUAUGACGGACACUUUAUUAUUUAAAGUUUUCAAAAUUAACAUUUGUACUUCUUGAUUCAAAUUAUUUUGAGAUUGAAGAUAAUUUUGUUUCAAAAAACCUUUUAAAAUAUCAAAAACAUAAGCAUUAGCUCUUGGUUGCAAAACUUUAUCUCUGGCUAAACACAGGUCCAAGGAUCGACACUAUAAUAAUCUUCUAAAAAGUUAAAGUGUUCCAAAACAAAAGGUCAACACCAAAAAAGCAAAGGUCGACACCAGAAAGAAGUUGAAAAAAUGGCUAAGUGUUUCAAAUGCAAGGGUCGACACUAAAAAGCAGUAUACAUUCCAAUGGUAAGGGUCAACACCAACAGCAGCAAGGGUUGACACCAAAAAGCAGUAUACACUCCAAUGGUAAGGGUCGACACCAAUAGCAGCAAGGGUCGACACCAAAAAAUAGUAUACACUUCAGCCACAAGGAUCGACACCAUCAGUAGCAAGGGUUGACAUCAGGAACACGUGUACCUCAACUCAAGAAAGAAAAAUCAGAGCAAAGGAUCGACACCCAACUUGCAGGGGUUGACACCCUUAUGUCUGGGUUGAACAAAACCUAACUGCCAUCUUCCAUCUCAAAGAGGGUAUCUGUGACAUCAUUCUCAGACAUAUUUUAUACUAAUCAAAAGGAAUCUUGAGACAACAUUUUCUAACAUAAUGGAGGGAACAUUCUCCACUCACACCUCUCCCAAGAUCAGAAAAAGGAAAGAACAUGGAGACAACAUUAUGUCCCUCUACUAUUUUCUUAUCUUCCAAGCAUGGGCAUCACUUCCUUUGAGGAAGCUCCAUUUCCAAUGGUCAGAAAACAGUCAACACCAAACAUUCUCCACUCACAACAGCUGGAAAGGAUUCUCAUUGUCUAGCUCCAACGGAUAGUUUACUCACGUGAGUAUGUUCCUUCUUCAACGAUUUGAGUCGAACAAGAAGGCUAUAAAUCAGGAAGUUUUCCACAGCUGCAAGUACGACAUUCCACUGCAACAACUCUAAACAUUCUGAGCAUCACUGGUAUAUCUUUUAUUUGACUUGUGUUCUCCCAUUUUUCAGAUUUAAACAAGUCCAAAACUUUGUGAGAUCUUUCACUUUCA